UCGUAAAGGCAGUAACUCAAGUGUGUGGCUGACUCAGUAAUUGCCCAGCAUCAUCUUUAUUGAAAUUAUCCAGCAAUCUAGAAAUUAGAAGUGAAAUAACCCAUGAAGUCAUCCUGACCCAGCUAUUCUGAGCCAAGGUUACCCCAAGUUCUAGCUUCAAAGCAGGAAGUUGGGCAACCACUGGAUAAAGACAGAUCAGCUGCCAGCAUCAGAAUAUCCAAGACAUUCUGAAGGGGAAAAGAUGUUACAUACUGGUGCCAGUCCUGUUUCCAGAAAGCAUCCAGGUUGUUGCAGAAUCAAUGGAGCCAUUCCUUAUGGGUCAAGUGCCAGCCUAGCUGCUGCUUCCUGGAGAAUCUCUCUGCCAAGGCCAAAUGUCUGCUCCUCAUCUCUGGAUCAUUGCUCUUACGUGACAAUGUUGAGUUCUGCAUGUGGGUCCUGCAUUAUAUCUGAGGCAAGGAGCACAGGGCCUCUGCUUUUUUGGUCCCAUCUGGACAAGCUUUCCUUCUCACUUUAUAAAGGAAAUCUUCUCCAGACAGGUAACGAAGCUGAGACUCAGAGGUUUCAACUACACAGUGAGGAGACGGCAGCAUCGAGUUUGUCUGACUCGGAAGGCCUUUCCACCACACAGAUGGUGUCAAUGGAUCUGCUUGAAUCAUGCAUUUUCUUCUAA
rnacentral:lncRNA from 1 species